rnacentral:rRNA from 1 species
ACUCCUACGGGAGGCAGCAGUGGGGAAUCUUGCGCAAUGGGCGAAAGCCUGACGCAGCGACGCCGCGUGCGGGAAGACGGCCUUCGGGUUGUAAACCGCUUUCAGCAGGGACGAAAUUGACGGUACCUGCAGAAGAAGCUCCGGCCAACUACGUGCCAGCAGCCGCGGUAAGACGUAGGGGCGAGCGUUGUCCGGAAUCAUUGGGCGUAAAGGGCUCCUAGGCGGUUCAGUAAGUCGACUGUGAAAAUCCAAGGCUCAACCUUGGGACGCCAGUCGAUACUGCUGUGACUCGAGUUCGGUAGAGGAGUGUGGAAUUCCUGGUGUAGCGGUGAAAUGCGCAGAUAUCAGGAGGAACACCAACGGCGAAGGCAGCACUCUGGGCCGAUACUGACGCUGAAGAGCGAAAGCAUGGGGAGCAAACAGGAUUAGAUACCCUGGUAGCGUCGUCU